UAACUUAGAUGGCUGCUUGUUUGGAAACAAGUUUUUAAGACCCCAGACACUAAGGAAGGUGAUUUUCCCAGGGCGAGGCUCAUCCAUUGCACUGCAGGUGUGCUGACCCCUACGAUUUCCCCCAAAUGUGGGAAACUUGACCGCAUAAUUUGUGGUAGUGGGGGACUGCGUUCUCACUCUCACCUG
rnacentral:snRNA from 1 species